rnacentral:pre_miRNA from 1 species
UUGCUACUCCCUCCGUACGAAAAAGCUUGUCCCUCAAAUGGAUGUAUCUAGCACCAAGUUAGUGCUAGAUACAUCCAUUUGAGGGACAAGCUUUUUGGACGGAGGGAGUACCUA